rnacentral:misc_RNA from 1 species
UUGAAUUUUAAUGAGGAGUUGGUUGUAGCUGGCCUCUGGGAUUUUUUUAAUUAAUUGUUCCAAGGGCAUUUCGUGCACGCCUUCUCUUUCAUCCACACACACCUGUGCACCUGUGAGGCAGAUGCUGGGCUUGGAGUUCUUUAUUAAUUUAUUGGACUUCCUUCCUAACUCUGUCUACUUAAUUCACACACACUCUAUUUAAUUUAAACUGAAUGUAAUUGAUGUAACGCAUCUAAUAC